ACGAAUGAAGCAAGCCUGAACAGAAUGAAAGUUUCGGAGGCAUCAAUGGACUUGAUCCAGUAUUGCAUAGACAAUCAAGCGGAGGACUGGUUUGUGUCCACUGUAAUGACCGUCGAGAACCCCUUCAAGUCGAUGAAGGGCCAGUGUGUUGUGCUAUGAACACUCCACUCGGUGGCAGCCCGUUUUAUGUGCCAUGGGAUCACCAAUGCACAGCAUCAGCUACAGACAGGCUCUGCUCACAGGCACUUCACUCGCUGAUGCUGCGUUCUGUAGCGUGUUUGUUUAUCUGUUUGUCCCCCCCCCCCCAAACUAUGGGACUGUGAUGCCAAGUCAUAUCAACAGAGCGGCCCAAUAGAGAUGCUAUAUCUGACAUAGAAAUCUGACACACUUUGUUUUUAUUUUGGUCUACUUGCAACUGGAUUAGAUGCAUACUGGUUGGCACCCUGACAAUAUAAUUGUUAUACUGUAAGGUCGAAUCAGAACCUCUCUCCCUCUCUCUCUGUCAUUGCAGACAUGCACAGUGAUGUCGACCUUUUCUUUUGCUCCUAAAACCAAUCAUUCCGAAAAGAAAGUUUUGCCGUUCUGUUUUUGUGUUUUCCACAUCGCUGUUGUUUGAUCAAUCCAUUAGCACAUUUUGGUGGGCAAAUGUAAUAUAUUAGCCAGUGCUACGUAUUACCUCUGUACAUUCACUGUGCAUCUAUAGUCAUUCUAUAACUAGAACAGUAGAACUAGAUGUGUAUACCUCAGCGUA